UACGGAGGGGGCGAGCGUUAUUCGGAUUCAUUGGGCGUAAAGGGUGCGUAGGCGGCGCCGUAAGUCAGGUGUGAAAUUUCGGAGCUUAACUCCGAAACUGCAUUUGAUACUGCGGUGCUUGAGGACUGGAGAGGAGACUGGAAUUUACGGUGUAGCAGUGAAAUGCGUAGAGAUCGUAAGGAAGACCAGUGGCGAAGGCGGGUCUCUGGACAGUUCCUGACGCUGAGGCACGAAGGCCAGGGGAGCAAACGGG
rnacentral:rRNA from 1 species